AGAGGAAGGAAGCAUGGUAAUGUGCACGGAGAUGGACUGAAUUGGUCUGCAUGUCUGCUCGCCCUGACGCCUUCGGGCUUUGAUCUCGCGGGCCUGGAUUUGACCCACACUA
rfam:Triticum aestivum genome assembly, contig: Triticum_aestivum_CS42_TGACv1_scaffold_196975_3AL